GUAGGGAAUUUUGCACAAUGGGCGCAAGCCUGAUGCAGCAACGCCGCGUGAGUGAAGAAGGCCUUUGGGUUGUAAAGCUCUUUCGGCUGGGAAGAAGGGUUUGCUUGCGAAUAGUCUGCAGAUCUGACGGUACCAGAAGAAGAAGCACCUGCUAACUUCGUGCCAGCAGCAGCGGUAAUACGAAGGGUGCAAGCGUUGUUCGGAAUUACUGGGCGUAAAGCGCGCGUAGGCGGGCUGGCAAGUCGAUUGUGAAAUACCUGGGCUUAACCUGGGAACUGCAGUCGAAACUGCCGGUCUUGAGUGCCUGAGAGGAUGGCGGAAUUCCCGGUGUAGUAGUGAAAUACGUAGAUAUCGGGAAGAACACCUGAGGCGAAGGCGGCUAUCUGGCGGUGCACUGACGCUGAGGCGCGAAAGCGUGGGGAGCAAACAGGAUUAGAAACCCUGGUAGUCC
rnacentral:rRNA from 1 species